rnacentral:rRNA from 1 species
GGCGUGCCUAAUACAUGCAAGUCGAACGCACUGACGUCGACAGAAGGUGCUUGCACUGGAAGUUGAUUGACGUGAGUGGCGGACGGGUGAGUAACACGUGGGUAACCUGCCCUUAAGCGGGGGAUAACAUUUGGAAACAGAUGCUAAUACCGCAUAAAAGUUGAGAUCACAUGGUCUUAAUUUGAAAGACGGCCUUUGGCUGUCACUUAAGGAUGGACCCGCGGCGUAUUAGCUAGUUGGUGAGAUAAUAGCCCACCAAGGCGAUGAUACGUAGCCGACCUGAGAGGGUAAUCAGCCACAUUGGGACUGACACACGGCCCAAACUCCUACGGGAGGCAGCAGUAUGGAAUCUUCCACAAUGGACGAAAAGUCUGAUGGAGAAACGCCGGCGUGAGUGAAGAAGGUUUUCGGAUCGUAAAACUUUGUUGUUGGAGAAGAACAGGGACUAGAGUAACUGUUAGUCCUUUGACGGUAUCCAACCAGAAAGCCACGGCUAACUACGUGCCAGCAGCCGCGGUAAUACGUAGGUGGCAAGCGUUGUCCGGAUUUAUUGGGCGUAAAGCGAGCGCAGGCGGUUUCUUAAGUCUGAUGUGAAAGCCUUCGGCUUAACCGAAGAAGUGCAUCAGAUACUGGGAAACUUGAGUGCAGAAGAGGGAAGUGGAACUCCAUGUGUAGCGGUGAAAUGCGUAGAUAUAUGGAAGAACACCAGUGGCGAAGGCGGCUUUCUGGUCUGUAACUGACGCUGAGGCUCGAAAGUAUGGGGAGCGAACAGGAUUAGAUACCCUGGUAGUCCAUACCGUAAACGAUGAAUGCUAAGUGUUGGAGGGUUUCCGCCCUUCAGUGCUGCAGCUAACGCAUUAAGCAUUCCGCCUGGGGAGUACGACCGCAAGGUUGAAACUCAAAGGAAUUGACGGGGGCCCGCACAAGCGGUGGAGCAUGUGGUUUAAUUCGAAGCUACGCGAAGAACCUUACCAGGUCUUGACAUCUAGCGCCAAUCCUAGAGAUAGGACGUUCCCUUCGGGGACGCUAAGACAGGUGGUGCAUGGUUGUCGUCAGCUCGUGUCGUGAGAUGUUGGGUUAAGUCCCGCAAUGAGCGCAACCCUUAUGAUUAGUUGCCAGCAUUUAGUUGGGCACUAUAGUCAGACUGCCGGUGACAAACCGGAGGA